ensembl:snoRNA
CUGCAGAAGACAAUGAUGCUUUAUUUCCAAGCACAUAUCUGAGUUGUAUGUGUAGAGGCACGAAAACUGAGUCUUUUCUGCAG